UAGGGAAUCUUCGGCAAUGGGGGCAACCCUGACCGAGCAACGCCGCGUGAGUGAAGAAGGUUUUCGGAUCGUAAAGCUCUGUUGUAAGAGAAGAACGAGUGUGAGAGUGGAAAGUUCACACUGUGACGGUAACUUACCAGAAAGGGACGGCUAACUACGUGCCAGCAGCCGCGGUAAUACGUAGGUCCCGAGCGUUAUCCGGAUUUAUUGGGCGUAAAGCGAGCGCAGGCGGUUAGAUAAGUCUGAAGUUAAAGGCUGUGGCUUAACCAUAGUACGCUUUGGAAACUGUUUAACUUGAGUGCAGAAGGGGAGAGUGGAAUCCCAUGUGUAGCGGUGAAAUGCGUAGAUAUAUGGAGGAACACCGGUGGCGAAAGCGGCUCUCUGGUCUGUAACUGACGCUGAGGCUCGAAAGCGUGGGGAGCAAACAGGAUUAGAUACCCUGGUAGUCCACGCCGUAAACGAUGAGUGCUAGGUGUUGGGUCCUUUCCGGGACUCAGUGCCGCAGCUAACGCAUUAAGCACUCCGCCUGGGGAGUACGACCGCAAGGUUG
rnacentral:rRNA from 1 species